rnacentral:RNase_P_RNA from 1 species
GAAGCAGGUCAGACGACCGCGUUUCGGAGCGUGAAAAGGCUCCGAAAUGAGGAAAGUCCGAACUCCACAGAGCAGGAUGGUCCGUAACGCGGACCCCGGGUGACCGGGGGAAAGUGCCACAGAAAAGAUACAGUCCCGUCAGCGGGAUAAAGGUGAAAUGGCGAGGUAAGAGCUCACCGCUUCAACGGUGACGUUGAGGGCAGGGUAAACCCCAUUCGGAGCAAGACCAAAUAGGCGGAGAGAGGCGGCUCGUCUCGAUUGAUCCGCGGGUAGGUCGCUGGAGGUGUCGGGCAACCGGCAUCGUAGAUAAAUGGUCGUCAUCCCGUAUUGCGGGAAUACAGAAUUCGGCUUAUCGACCUGCUUUGGCU